AGAAUGCAAAUGCUGAGAAAUUAAACAGACCAUAAGGAGACAUCUGUGUAGAAUGAGAGAAUUUCAUCGUUUUCACCCUGAGCUGGGGACAGAGAUUUUGCUUCCAUUAUUUUCCUUUUCUACAACUGUAUAUUCAACAAGAUGUCUCCACACUAGUGGCAGGAACUUGAACGGUGCUCACCUGUGAGGGGAGAUUUUUCAGCUACAACUAACAGGUGAGUGUCUUGAACUUGGUCUAUUCCCAGCCUUGUUGAGUUUCAUCUUUUACAUUUCAGAGGAGAAUUCAGCCCCAGACUCAAGAUGAGACUCG
rnacentral:lncRNA from 1 species